UUACGAGGUCAGGACACUGUGAGGAUUGACAGAUUGAAAGCUCUUUCUUGAUUCAGUGGGUGGUGGUGCAUGGCCGUUCUUAGUUGGUGGAGUGAUUUGUCUGGUUAAUUCCGUUAACGAACGAGACCUUAACCUGCUAAAUAGUCACGCGAACCGGUCCGCAAGGGCUCAAAGUUCGCGGCUCGACUUCUUAGAGGGACUAUUCGCACCCGCCAGCGAAUGGAAGUUUGAGGCAAUAACAGGUCUGUGAUGCCCUUAGAUGUUCUCGGCCGCACGCGCGUUACACUGACGGAGUCAACGAGCGUUUUUCCUUGCCCGAUAGGGUUGGGUAACCUCCUGAAACUCCGUCGUGAUGGGGAUAGAUCAUUGCAAUUAUUGAUCUUGAACGAGGAAUUCCUAGUAGGCGCGAGUCAUCAACUCGCGCCGAUUACGUCCCUGCCCUUUGUACACACCGCCCGUCGCUCCUACCGAUUGAACGGUCCGGCGAGAACUCCGGAUGGUC
rnacentral:rRNA from 1 species